AACGCCUCUCAUCCACUCACCGAGGCAUGCAGGAAAUAAGCAUGAGAAAAUUGUAACGCUCCCAAUCUGCUGGUUUUGCCAGCUAUGAAGAAAACCAUGUGAAAACAUUUUCAGGCAGGUCGACUCAGAGAAUCUCCAAACCAAAACUCAUCAUUUCCAUGGGGGGAGGGGGGGAAAUCCAGUACUGAUAAGCCAUUGACUUCAAAUUUGAAACAGGGACAAUUUUGUCUCCAUUAUUGCCCACAUCUGCUAUUUCCAAGGAAUGGGAAAGCACCACGUCAGAUAACCCUGUGACUAAACUUCCUGGUGCUGCGCUCCCCUGACCAAGUUUCCCACCAUUUAUUAUCGGCAGCACCCAGGAAAAGGCCCGAAGCCCCGUCGUGCUCGCUGCUGCAUAAAGCACAGCGAUGAGUCUGCCUAACAGACCUCGAUAAUCAGUAAACACAGCAGAUAAACGGUGAGAAAAGACAAAGAGGAAGAUUGCUAUCCCCAUGUUACAGACAGGACUGAGACACGAAAUUAGGUGACGUGCCAAAACCACACAGUCUCUGGCAUUCAGAAAUUGAGUCUCCGGCUCCUCAGAGCUAAUCUCAACAAUAAGGCUGUCAGUCCUGCUCAGAUGCAAACACCUUUGACCCCGGUAAGCUCAGAAUUAUACACACAUCAAUUCAGACUUUGAAGCCUGGCUUAUCUCUCGCUGGUGUAACUGUCCCCUCCGCUGUAACUAACCGGGCUGGCGGAGGGGAAACACUACCAAGGAAGAAGAAAAGAAAAACAAAACCCCGCAGCUCGGGCAGAAAUCGCUGUCUGGCGUUUGCUGUGGGCUCCCUCCAUCGUGGCAGAGCCCAGAGGGCUUCACAGCUUGUGCGUGGGGGAAUGCAUUAAUUGCUACCUGGCCAGCGUAAGGAGCUAACUGGGGAAUCCAACAGCACAAAGCGACUCUGCAGACGAGCCAAGAGAAGAACUGUUUUGGUAUCGGAUCACAAAGUGCCUGCGGAGAUUCCCAUCAGUGAAGAAGCUGCAACGUGACCCAAAAGCUCAGCGUCUGCAUUCCUGGAGAAAAAAACCAUCACAGUCCUGCUCCAGUUAUCUCACCAAAGGCAAGCUGCUUAAUAGGAAGCACACCAAGAGAUACCUCCGCGUGCUGCAAUGCCUUGCCCAUCGUGAUGAAUCGAGUACCGCGUGUCUGCAGGUUACAGGCACCUUGCACCUCCAGCAGCCCAGCUCCACCUCCAGCCGAGCACCCAACAGCGCUGCUGGUGGGAGCAGCCGGGGGAAGGAGGAACCAAAGGCAUAAGAAACUUUUUCAGAGGCAGCAGGAUCUUCCUAAGCGGAGCCUCGCUCAGCCUGCCCGCUGCUCGCUGAGCCAGGAGAAGGAGCACGGCUCCGGAGAGGUGCAAGCACGCCCGGCUCUGCGGCACCCCGCUGGACGUGGGCAGGCAGUCUGUGUGCGAGGCCCUCGGUGUCAGGCCCUCCCAAGCCCCCUGGGAGCUGACGGAGGGAGGUGGGCAGCAGCUUCACGGGGGCUUUCCCUCCCCAGGCUGUGACAAACGGGUGGUUCCCUACCUGGCAAUCUGCACAGCUGCCCGGCCGCUGCGCUCGCAGCAAACACAGCCAAAAACCAGCUCCUGGCUGGUAGGGA